GAACGAGUGGCGGACGGGUGAGUAACACGUGGGUAACCUGCCCUUAAGUGGGGGAUAACAUUUGGAAACAGAUGCUAAUACCGCAUAAAUCCAAGAACCGCAUGGUUCUUGGCUGAAAGAUGGCGUAAGCUAUCGCUUUUGGAUGGACCCGCGGCGUAUUAGCUAGUUGGUGAGGUAACGGCUCACCAAGGCAAUGAUAAGUAGCCGAACUGAGAGGUUGAUCGGCCACAUUGGGACUGAGACACGGCCCAAACUCCUACGGGAGGCAGCAGUAGGGAAUCUUCCACAAUGGACGCAAGUCUGAUGGAGCAACGCCGCGUGAGUGAACAAGGCUUUCGGGUCGUAAAACUCUGUUGUUGGAGAAGAAUGGUCGGCAGAGUAACUGUUGUCGGCGUGACGGUAUCCAACCAGAAAGCCACGGCUAACUACGUGCCAGCAGCCGCGGUAAUACGUAGGUGGCAAGCGUUAUCCGGAUUUAUUGGGCGUAAAGCGAGCGCAGGCGGUUUUUUAAGUCUGAUGUGAAAGCCCUCGGCUUAACCGAGGAAGUGCAUCGGAAACUGGGAAACUUGAGUGCAGAAGAGGACAGUGGAACUCCAUGUGUAGCGGUGAAAUGCGUAGAUAUAUGGAAGAACACCAGUGGCGAAGGCGGCUGUCUGGUCUGUAACUGACGCUGAGGCUCGAAAGCAUGGGUAGCGAACAGGAUUAGAUACCCUGGUAGUCCAUGCCGUAAACGAUGAAUGCUAGGUGUUGGAGGGUUUCCGCCCUUCAGUGCCGCAGCUAACGCAUUAAGCAUUCCGCCUGGGGAGUACGACCGCAAGGUUGAAACUCAAAGGAAUUGACGGGGGCCCGCACAAGCGGUGGAGCAUGUGGUUUAAUUCGAAGCAACGCGAAGAACCUUACCAGGUCUUGACAUCUUUUGAUCACCUGAGAGAUCAGGUUUCCCCUUCGGGGGCAAAAUGACAGGUGGUGCAUGGUUGUCGUCAGCUCGUGUCGUGAGAUGUUGGGUUAAGUCCCGCAACGAGCGCAACCCUUAUGACUAGUUGCCAGCAUUUAGUUGGGCACUCUAGUAAGACUGCCGGUGACAAACCGGAGGAAGGUGGGGAUGACGUCAAAUCAUCAUGCCCCUUAUGACCUGGGCUACACACGUGCUACAAUGGAUGGUACAACGAGUUGCGAGACCGCGAGGUCAAGCUAAUCUCUUAAAGCCAUUCUCAGUUCGGACUGUAGGCUGCAACUCGCCUACACGAAGUCGGAAUCGCUAGUAAUCGCGGAUCAGCACGCCGCGGUGAAUACGUUCCCGGGCCUUGUAC
rnacentral:rRNA from 1 species